rnacentral:tRNA from 1 species
GGGGAUGUAGCGCAGCUUGGUAGCGCACCUCGGUUCGGACGGAGGGGUCGCAGGUUCAAAUCCUGUCAUCCCGA